AUCGUAAACCCCAUGUUAACUUUUAAGCAUUAUUUAUCAUAAACCCCCUGUUCAGUUUUAAUCAUUCAUUUUUUUUCAUAACUCGGUAUGAUUGUGUGAAUUGCAAAAUGUGUAAGAAAACUAAGUUUGGGGUGGAAAUCUUGAAAGAGAAGCAAGUGCAUAAUAAGAGAUCAUACAAAAAGAAAAAUAGUAUGUAUUUUCUUUAAAAGAAAAAAAAGAGAAAAAAAGAGAAAAGAAAAAUAAAAAAGAAAAAUGCACUUGCCGAGACUUAAGACUCUAACACAUAUGAAAUGCUCGGAAAAUUUGAGUAGGAAAAGAGUCAAAAGAGUGAAAUUAACCCCCAGAGUAUACGUGAUGCACGAGAAAAAAGAGAAAUAAAAAUCACACAACAUGACUACCGAGUUCAAAACCCUUUGUUAUCCAAUUUUUUGUUUAUCCCACCGUACCCAAGCC
rnacentral:lncRNA from 1 species